rnacentral:rRNA from 1 species
CGCGAAGAACCUUACCUGGUCUUGACAUCCACGGAAGUUUUCAGAGAUGAGAAUGUGCCUUCGGGAACCGUGAGACAGGUGCUGCAUGGCUGUCGUCAGCUCGUGUUGUGAAAUGUUGGGUUAAGUCCCGCAACGAGCGCAACCCUUAUCCUUUGUUGCCAGCGGUCCGGCCGGGAACUCAAAGGAGACUGCCAGUGAUAAACUGGAGGAAGGUGGGGAUGACGUCAAGUCAUCAUGGCCCUUACGACCAGGGCUACACACGUGCUACAAUGGCGCAUACAAAGAGAAGCGACCUCGCGAGAGCAAGCGGACCUCAUAAAGUGCGUCGUAGUCCGGAUUGGAGUCUGCAACUCGACUCCAUGAAGUCGGAAUCGCUAGUAAUCGUGGAUCAGAAUGCCACGGUGAAUACGUUCCCGGGCCUUGUACACAC